rnacentral:rRNA from 1 species
AUUGAACGCUGGCGGCAGGCUUAACACAUGCAAGUCGAGCGGGGAAAGGUAGCUUGCUACCUGACCUAGCGGCGGACGGGUGAGUAAUGCUUAGGAAUCUGCCUAUUAGUGGGGGACAACAUUCCGAAAGGAAUGCUAAUACCGCAUACGCCCUACGGGGGAAAGCAGGGGAUCUUCGGACCUUGCGCUAAUAGAUGAGCCUAAGUCAGAUUAGCUAGUUGGUGGGGUAAAGGCCUACCAAGGCGACGAUCUGUAGCGGGUCUGAGAGGAUGAUCCGCCACACUGGGAGUGAGACACGGCCCAGGCUCCUACGGGAGGCAGCAGUAGGGAAUAUUGGACAAUGGGAGGAAGCCUGAUCCAGCCAUGCCGCGUGUGUGAAGAAGGCCUUAUGGUUGUAAAGCACUUUAAGCGAGGAGGAGGCUACUUUAGUUAAUACCUAGAGAUAGUGGACGUUACUCGCAGAAUAAGCACCGGCUAACUCUGUGCCAGCCGCCGCCGUAACAC